rnacentral:rRNA from 1 species
CCGCGUGAGUGAAGAAGGCCUUCGGGUUGUAAAGCUCUUUCGGCGGGGAAGAAAUUGCACGGGUUAAUACCCUGUGUAGAUGACGGUACCCGAAUAAGAAGCACCGGCUAACUACGUGCCAGCAGCCGCGGUAAUACGUAGGGUGCGAGCGUUAAUCGGAAUUACUGGGCGUAAAGCGUGCGCAGGCGGUUUGGUAAGUCAGAUGUGAAAAUCCCCCGGGGCUCAAACCUGGGAACUGCAUUUGAGACUGCCAGGCUGGAGUUUGGCAGAGGGGGGUGGAAUUCCACGUGUAGCAGUGAAAUGCGUAGAGAUGUGGAGGAACACCGAUGGCGAAGGCAGCCCCCUGGGCCAAUACUGACGCUCAUGCACGAAAGCGUGGGGAGCAAACAGGAUUAGAUACCCUGGUAGUCCACGCCCUAAAACGAUGUCAACUAGGUGUUGGGAGGGUUAAACCUUUUAGUGCCGUAGCUAACGCGUGAAGUUGACCGCCUGGGGAGUACGGCCGCAAGGCUAAAAACUCAAAGGAAUUGACGGG